ACGCUGGCGGCGCGCUUAACACAUGCAAGUCGAGCGAGAACCUGGCCUUCGGGCCUGGGGAAAGCGGCGAACGGGUGAGUAACACGUGGGUAACCCACCCUUGGUAUUGGGAUAGCCCGGGGAAACCCGGAUUAAUACCGGAUGGCCCAACAGCUCUCAGGGGCGGUUGGAAAAGGUAGCUUCGGCCUCCGACCAAGGACGGGCCCGCGGCGGAUUAGCUUGUUGGUGGGGUAACGGCCUACCAAGGCGACGAUCCGUAGCUGGUCUGAGAGGACGAUCAGCCACACUAGGACUGAGACACGGCCCAGACUCCUACGGGAGGCAGCAGUGGGGAAUCUUGCGCAAUGGGCGAAAGCCUGACGCAGCGACGCCGCGUGGGGGAAGAAGGCUUUCGGGUUGUAAACCCCUUUCAGGAAGGACGAAGCCACUCGGGUUAAUAGCCCAGAGGGUGACGGUACUUCCAGAAGAAGCCCCGGCUAACUACGUGCCAGCAGCCGCGGUAAUACGUAGGGGGCAAGCGUUGUCCGGAUUUAUUGGGCGUAAAGAGCGAGUAGGUGGUUUGGUAGGUCCGUUGUGAAAACUCGAGGCUCAACCUCGAGACGCCGAUGGAAACCAUCAGACUAGAGU
rnacentral:rRNA from 1 species